GUCUCCUUAUUAGCGCCAUGCACCUGUGGAAAAUGCAUAGGAAGGUUCUGUGAACAGACAUUGUGAUAUGUUCAGGAAUUACCUGUGUUUCAAUCAGCAGGUUAACGAGGAGGAGAGUGAUCGAAGAUUCGGCGGAUGCUCUCCCGUACACUCCCGGUGCGAGAUAUACCGGCAAAUAUGCAGGUGACUGCAAAACAAAUACGGUAUAAGGGAGAAGA
rnacentral:ncRNA from 2 species